rnacentral:rRNA from 1 species
AUUGAACGCUGGCGGCAGGCUUAACACAUGCAAGUCGAGCGAGCGGCGGACGGGUGAGUAAUGUCUGGGAAACUGCCUGAUGGAGGGGGAUAACUACUGGAAACGGUAGCUAAUACCGCAUACCCUCAGAUGUGCCCAGAGGGGAUUAGCUAGUAGGUGGGGUAAAGGCUCACCUGGGCGACGAUCUCUCGCUGGUCUGAGAGGCUGAUCAGCCACACGGGGACUUAGACACGGCCCGGACUCCUACGGGAGGCAGCAGUGGGGAAUAUUGCACAAUGGGGGCAAGCCUGAUGCAGCCAUGCCGCGUGUAUGAAGAAGGCCUUAGGUUUGUAAAGUACUUUCAGCGAGGAGGCGUUACCCGCAGAAGAAGCACCGGCUAACUCCGUGCCAGCAGCCGCGGUAAUAC